AGCGAACGCUGGCGGCAGGCCUAACACAUGCAAGUCGAACGGAUCCUUCGGGAUUAGUGGCGGACGGGUGAAUAACACGUGGGAACGUGCCCUUUGGUUCGGAACAACUCAGGGAAACUUGAGCUAAUACCGGAUGUGCCCUUCGGGGGAAAGAUUUAUCGCCAUUGGAGCGGCCCGCGUCUGAUUAGCUAGUUGGUGAGGUAAAGGCUCACCAAGGCGACGAUCAGUAGCUGGUCUGAGAGGAUGAUCAGCCACAUUGGGACUGAGACACGGCCCAAACUCCUACGGGAGGCAGCAGUGGGGAAUCUUGCGCAAUGGGCGAAAGCCUGACGCAGCCAUGCCGCGUGAAUGAUGAAGGUCUUAGGAUUGUAAAAUUCUUUCACCGGGGACGAUAAUGACGGUACCCGGAGAAGAAGCACCGGCUAACUACGUGCCAGCCGCCGCCGUAAUAC
rnacentral:rRNA from 1 species